GACGAACGCUGGCGGCGUGCUUAACACAUGCAAGUCGAACGAAGAGCGAUGGUUGCUUGCUUCUGCCAAUCUUAGUGGCGAACGGGUGAGUAACGCGUAAUCAACCUGCCCUUCAGAGGGGGACAAAAGCUGGUAACGACUGCUAAUACCGCCAGCGAUCUAAUCUUGGCAUCGAGGGUAGAUGAAAGGUGGCCUCUACACGUACGCCCUCACUGCUGGUGGGGGGUGCGUCUGCUUAGCAAGUUGGCGGGGUGACGGCCCACCAUGGCGAUGAUCAGGAGCCGGACGGAGAGGAUGAGCGGCCGCAGUGGGACGGGGACAGGCCCCAUCAGGCGAGGGGAGGCACCAGUGGUGAACCUUCCGGAAUGGGCGGAAGUCAGUCGGAGCAACGCCGCGUGAGGGUGGACCACCUUCGGGUUGUGAAGCUCUGUUAUUCGGGACUAAAGGCCUUCUUGCGAAUAGGGAGAAAGAUUGACGGUACCGGAAUAGAAAGCCACGGCUAACUACGUG
rnacentral:rRNA from 1 species